UGUUUCUGAGAGAAAUGUUCCUCAUUUAUGUCUUUUUUCAACAAAAGAUAUUCCAAAGUUUACAGAAUUACGAUAUAGCUAUGGGGAAACAUCUGGAUUAUCUUGGCGAAAGCAGUCUAUUUACAAAAGACCAUUAAUAUUGAC